AUAAGACUUCACCAUCCAUAAUUUUGACAAUGGAGUGGAAUGUCACUAACAAAUGUCUGCACAGACUACUUUCGCCAAAGAUGACACUGGAGUCACUUGUAUCUCAGGGCUUGAUGAGAACUGGACAGUAUGGGUCACUACAGAUGGUGGCAUGAACAUUAUUACUGCCAUAUUUCCCUCAGGUGGAGAUCACUGCACUACUCGGAUUUUUGCACUGGCUCCAUCUAACAAUGGAUAAGUGAUAAACAACCCAUAGUGAUAUUGCUAAGUGUGAUGCAUUUUAAUAUAAAGCAGUCUGAAGUACAUGUACAAUGGGGGACAAAUGUAUU